rnacentral:rRNA from 1 species
CCUACGGGGGCAGCAGUGGGGAAUAUUGGACAAUGGGCGAAAGCCUGAUCCAGCAAUGCCGCGUGUGUGAAGAAGGCCUUCGGGUUGUAAAGCACUUUCAGUAGGGAGGAAGGCUUAUCCUUAAUACGGAUGAGUACUUGACGUUACCUACAGAAGAAGCACCGGCUAAUUUCGUGCCAGCAGCCGCGGUAAU